rnacentral:rRNA from 1 species
GACAGAGGUGCCGAGCGUUAGGCGGAAUCACUGGGCUUAAAGCGUGUGUAGGCGGGCCGUUAAGUAUCUUGUGAAAUCCCCCGGCUCAACCGGGGAAUGGCUGGAUAUACUGGCGGUCUUGAGCAGUCUAGGGGCAGAUGGAACAGACGGUGGAGCGGUGAAAUGCGUAGAUAUCGUCUGGAACGCCAAAGGUGAAGACGGUCUGCUGGGGACUUGCUGACGCUGAGACACGAAAGCCAGGGGAGCGAACGGG